GGUUAAGCGACUAAGCGUACACGGUGGAUGCCCUGGCAGUCAGAGGCGAUGAAGGACGUGCUAAUCUGCGAAAAGCGCCGGCGAGGUGAUAUGAACCCUUGACCCGGCGAUGUCCGAAUGGGGAAACCCAGUGCAAUCCGUUGCACUAUCGUUAACUGAAUACAUAGGUUAACGAGGCGAACCGGGGGAACUGAAACAUCUAAGUACCCCGAGGAAAAGAAAUCAACCGAGAUUCCCCCAGUAGCGGCGAGCGAACGGGGAGCAGCCCGGAGUCUGAAUCAGCUUGUGUGUUAGUGGAACGGUCUGGAAAGUCCGACGGUACAGGGUGAUAGUCCCGUACACGAAAGCACACUUGCUGUGAACUCGAAGAGUAGGGCGGGACACGUGGUAUCCUGUCUGAAUAUGGGGGGACCAUCCUCCAAGGCUAAAUACUCCUGACUGACCGAUAGUGAACCAGUACCGUGAGGGAAAGGCGAAAAGAACCCCGGCGAGGGGAGUGAAAAAGAACCUGAAACCGUGUACGUACAAGCAGUGGGAGCCUCUUUAUGGGGUGACUGCGUACCUUUUGUAUAAUGGGUCAGCGACUUAUAUUCUGUAGCAAGGUUAACCGUAUAGGGGAGCCGAAGGGAAACCGAGUCUUAACUGGGCGUUAAGUUGCAGGGUAUAGACCCGAAACCCGGUGAUCUAGCCAUGGGCAGGUUGAAGGUUGGGUAACACUAACUGGAGGACCGAACCGACUAAUGUUGAAAAAUUAGCGGAUGACCUGUGGCUGGGGGUGAAAGGCCAAUCAAACCGGGAGAUAGCUGGUUCUCCCCGAAAGCUAUUUAGGUAGCGCCUCGUGAACUCAUCUUCGGGGGUAGAGCACUGUUUCGGCUAGGGGGCCAUCCCGGCUUACCAACCCGAUGCAAACUACGAAUACCGAAGAAUGUUAUCACGGGAGACACACGGCGGGUGCUAACGUCCGUCGUGAAGAGGGAAACAACCCAGACCGCCAGCUAAGGUCCCAAAGUCAUGGUUAAGUGGGAAACGAUGUGGGAAGGCACAGACAGCCAGGAUGUUGGCUUAGAAGCAGCCAUCAUUUAAAGAAAGCGUAAUAGCUCACUGGUCGAGUCGGCCUGCGCGGAAGAUGUAACGGGGCUAAACCAUGCACCGAAGCUGCGGCAGCGACGCUUAUGCGUUGUUGGGUAGGGGAGCGUUCUGUAAGCCGUUGAAGGUGUGCUGUGAGGCAUGCUGGAGGUAUCAGAAGUGCGAAUGCUGACAUAAGUAACGAUAAAGCGGGUGAAAAGCCCGCUCGCCGGAAGACCAAGGGUUCCUGUCCAACGUUAAUCGGGGCAGGGUGAGUCGACCCCUAAGGCGAGGCCGAAAGGCGUAGUCGAUGGGAAACAGGUUAAUAUUCCUGUACUUGGUGUUACUGCGAAGGGGGGACGGAGAAGGCUAUGUCAGCCGGGCGACGGUUGUCCCGGUUUAAGCAUGUAGGCGGAGGUUCCAGGUAAAUCCGGUACCUUGUUAACGCUGAGGUGUGAUGACGAGGCACUACGGUGCUGAAGUGAUAAAUGCCCUGCUUCCAGGAAAAGCCUCUAAGCAUCAGGUAACACGAAAUCGUACCCCAAACCGACACAGGUGGUCAGGUAGAGAAUACCAAGGCGCUUGAGAGAACUCGGGUGAAGGAACUAGGCAAAAUGGUGCCGUAACUUCGGGAGAAGGCACGCUGAUAUGUAGGUGAAGCCCCUGCGGGCGGAGCUGAAAUCAGUCGAAGAUACCAGCUGGCUGCAACUGUUUAUUAAAAACACAGCACUGUGCAAACACGAAAGUGGACGUAUACGGUGUGACGCCUGCCCGGUGCCGGAAGGUUAAUUGAUGGGGUUAGCGGCAACGCGAAGCUCUUGAUCGAAGCCCCGGUAAACGGCGGCCGUAACUAUAACGGUCCUAAGGUAGCGAAAUUCCUUGUCGGGUAAGUUCCGACCUGCACGAAUGGCGUAAUGAUGGCCAGGCUGUCUCCACCCGAGACUCAGUGAAAUUGAACUCGCUGUGAAGAUGCAGUGUACCCGCGGCAAGACGGAAAGACCCCGUGAACCUUUACUAUAGCUUGACACUGAACACUGGUCCUUGAUGUGUAGGAUAGGUGGGAGGCUUUGAAGCGUGGACGCCAGUCUGCGUGGAGCCAACCUUGAAAUACCACCCUUUAAUGGCUGGUGUUCUAACGUAGACCCGUAAUCCGGGUUGCGGACAGUGUCUGGUGGGUAGUUUGACUGGGGCGGUCUCCUCCCAAAGAGUAACGGAGGAGCACGAAGGUUGGCUAAUCCUGGUCGGACAUCAGGAGGUUAGUGCAAUGGCAUAAGCCAGCUUGACUGCGAGCGUGACGGCGCGAGCAGGUGCGAAAGCAGGUCAUAGUGAUCCGGUGGUUCUGAAUGGAAGGGCCAUCGCUCAACGGAUAAAAGGUACUCCGGGGAUAACAGGCUGAUACCGCCCAAGAGUUCAUAUCGACGGCGGUGUUUGGCACCUCGAUGUCGGCUCAUCACAUCCUGGGGCUGAAGUAGGUCCCAAGGGUAUGGCUGUUCGCCAUUUAAAGUGGUACGCGAGCUGGGUUUAGAACGUCGUGAGACAGUUCGGUCCCUAUCUGCCGUGGGCGCUGGAGAAUUGAGGGGGGCUGCUCCUAGUACGAGAGGACCGGAGUGGACGCAUCACUGGUGUUCGGGUUGUCAUGCCAAUGGCACUGCCCGGUAGCUAAAUGCGGAAGAGAUAAGUGCUGAAAGCAUCUAAGCACGAAACUUGCCCCGAGAUGAGUUCUCCCUGAGACCUUGAGUCUCCUGAAGGAACGUUGAAGACGACGACGUUGAUAGGUCGGGUGUGUAAGCGCAGCGAUGCGUUGAGCUAACCGAUACUAAUGAACCGUGAGGCUUAACCUU
rnacentral:rRNA from 1 species